ensembl:lncRNA
CAAUUACAGAAGUGAAGAACUUAAGAAGUGGAAGUAAAUAACUAAUGAGGACUCCACAUCUGGAUGCCAUACUACAGGUGAGAUCUCUCCAGUGUGGAGAAAAGGGGCAGGAUCACCUCCCUCACCCUGCUGGCCACGCUUCUUUUGGGGAAGCCCAGGAUACAGUUGGCUUUCUGUGCUGCAUCUGUAGGACAAGAGGCAGAAAUACUGUAAAGCACAGGGAGUGAUCAUGGGAGACUGCUUUGUAUUUUGCAUUUUUGAAGGCCUUAUCUUACACGUGAAUGCUCAGAUGGUUAUUUACCCUUGAAGUAAGUAAAAAUAGGAUUAAGAAGAGGAUUAAGAGAACGGAGCAUUGUUUGACACUGUCCAGAACAACAAAAAUGGAUCUGAUGGAUGAACCACUCACAGGAAUUGCCUGGAUGGUUGCAUUUAGAGAGUUCUGGUCAACAGCUCAAUGUCCAAGUGGAGACCGGUGGCAAGUGGCAUUCCUUCCUCAGGUAUCAGUGCUGGGACUGGUUCUAUUUAACAUCUUUGUAGGUGACAGAUAGUGGGAUUGAAUGCACCCUCAGCAAGUUUGCACGUGACACCGUACUGUGUGGUGCAGUUGACACACUUGAGGGAAGACAUGGUAUCUAGAGGAACAUGGACGGGCUUGAGAGGUGGGCUCAUGCCAACCUCAUGAAAUUCAGUAAGGCCAAUUGCAAGGUCCUGCAUAUGGGUUGGAGCAAUCCCAAGCACAUACGUUGGGUGGAGAAUGGCUUGAGAGCAGACCUGAGGACAAGGAUUUGGAGGUGUUGGUUGAUGAAAGACUUAACAUGAAACUCAGCAUGAUCUGGCAAUGUCCGCUUGCAGCCCAGAAGGCCAACCAUAUCCUGACUUUCAUGAAAAGAAGCGUGACCAGCAGGUCAAGGAAG